AUUGAACGCUGGCGGCAUGCCUUACACAUGCAAGUCGAACGGCAGCACGGGGCAACCUGGUGGCGAGUGGCGAACGGGUGAGUAAUGCAUCGGAACGUACCUUUCAGUGGGGGAUAACGUAGCGAAAGUUACGCUAAUACCGCAUAUUCUGUGAGCAGGAAAGCAGGGGAUCGCAAGACCUUGCGCUGAUUGAGCGGCCGAUGUCAGAUUAGCUAGUUGGUGAGGUAAAGGCUCACCAAGGCGACGAUCUGUAGCGGGUCUGAGAGGAUGAUCCGCCACACUGGAACUGAGACACGGUCCAGACUCCUACGGGAGGCAGCAGUGGGGAAUUUUGGACAAUGGGGGCAGCCCUGAUCCAGCCAUGCCGCGUGAGUGAAGAAGGCCUUCGGGUUGUAAAGCUCUUUCGGCCGGGAAGAAAUCGCAUGGGCUAAUACCCUGUGUGGAUGACGGUACCGGAAUAAGAAGCACCGGCUAACUACGUGCCAGCCGCCGCGGUAA
rnacentral:rRNA from 1 species